rnacentral:rRNA from 1 species
UACGGGGGGGGGGCAAGCGUUGUUCGGAAUUACUGGGGCGUAAAGGGCUCGUAGGCGGCCAACUAAGUCACACGUGAAAUCCCUCGGCUCAACCGGGGAACUGCGUGUGAGACUGGAUGGCUUGAGUUUGGGAGAGGAAUGCGGAAUUCCAGGUGUAGCGGUGAAAUGCGUAGAUAUCAGGAGGAACACCGGUGGCGAAGGCGGGUCUCUGGGCCAGUAACUGACGCUGAGACACGAAAGCGUGGGUAGCAAACAGG